CCUACGGGUGGCAGCAGUGAGGAAUAUUGGUCAAUGGGCGCAAGCCUGAACCAGCCAAGUAGCGUGCAGGAUGACGGCCCUACGGGUUGUAAACUUCUUUUGUGCGGGGAUAAAGUGCGUCACGUGUGACUAAUUGUAAGUACCCUAUGAAUAAGGACCGGCUAACUCCGUGCCAGCAGCCGCGGUAAUACGGAGGGUCCGAGCGUUAUCCGGAUUUAUUGGGUUUAAAGGGAGCGUAGGCGGGAUGUUAAGUCAGCGGUGAAAUUUCGGGGCGCAACCCUGGAAUUGCGAGUGAUACUGGCUGCCUUGAGUGCACGCGAGGUAGGCGGAAUUCGUGGUGUAGCGGUGAAAUGCUUAGAUAUCACGAAGAACUCCGAUUGCGAAGGCAGCAUACUGGCGCGCAACUGACGCUGAUGCUCGAAAGCGUGGGUAUCAAACAGGAUUAGAUACCCUGGUAGUC
rnacentral:rRNA from 1 species